rnacentral:rRNA from 1 species
AUUGAACGCUGGCGGCAUGCCUUACACAUGCAAGUCGAACGGCAGCGGGGACUUCGGUCCGCCGGCGAGUGGCGAACGGGUGAGUAAAGUAUCGGAACGUACCUUUCAGUGGGGGAUAACGUAGCGAAAGUUACGCUAAUACCGCAUAUUCUGUGAGCAGGAAAGCAGGGGAUCGCAAGACCUUGCGCUGAUUGAGCGGCCGAUAUCAGAUUAGCUAGUUGGUGAGGUAAAGGCUCACCAAGGCGACGAUCUGUAGCGGGUCUGAGAGGAUGAUCCGCCACACUGGAACUGAGACACGGUCCAGACUCCUACGGGAGGCAGCAGUGGGGAAUUUUGGACAAUGGGGGCAACCCUGAUCCAGCCAUGCCGCGUGAGUGAAGAAGGCCUUCGGGUUGUAAAGCUCUUUCGGCCGGGAAGAAAUCGUAUGGGUUAAUACCCUGUGCGGAUGACGGUACCGGCAUAAGAAGCACCGGCUAACUACGUGCCAGCAGCAGCCGCGG